AUCCUGCCAGUAGUCAUAUGCUUGUCUCAAAGAUUAAGCCAUGCAUGUCUAAGUAUAAGCGACUUGUACUGUGAAACUGCGAAUGGCUCAUUAAAUCAGUUAUGGUUUCUUUGAUGGUACCUUGCUACUUGGAUACCCGUAGUAAUUCUAGAGCUAAUACAUGCAGGAGUGCCCGACUUCGGAAGGGCUGUAUUUAUUAGAUAAGAAACCUUCUCGGGUUCGCCCGGUUGUGUGCUGAGUCAUAAUAACUGCUCGAAUCGCACGGCUCUACGCCGGCGAUGGUUCAUUCAAAUUUCUGCCCUAUCAGCUUUCGAUGGUAGGAUAGAGGCCUACCAUGGCGUUAACGGGUAACGGAGAAUUAGGGUUCGAUUCCGGAGAGGGAGCCUGAGAAAUGGCUACCACAUCCAAGGAAGGCAGCAGGCGCGUAAAUUGCCCGAAUCCUGACACAGGGAGGUAGUGACAAGAAAUAACAAUACAGGGCUACUUCUAGUCUUGUAAUUGGAAUGAGUACAACUUACAUCUCUUCACGAGGAUCAACUGGAGGGCAAGUCUGGUGCCAGCAGCCGCGGUAAUUCCAGCUCCAGAAGCGUAUAUUAAAGUUGUUGCAGUUAAAACGCUCGUAGUCGGGUUUCGGGUCGGGCCGAGCGGUCUGCCGAUGGGUAUGCACUGUUUGGCGCGGCCUUCUUUCCGGAGACCGCGGCUACUCUUAACUGAGCGGGCGUGGGAGACGGAUCGUUUACUUUGAAAAAAUCAGAGUGUUUCAAGCAGGCAGCUCGCUCUUGCAUGGUACAGCAUGGGAUGAUUGAAUAGGACUCCGGUGCUAUUUUGUUGGUUUCGAACACCAGGAGUAAUGAUUAACAGGGACAGUCAGGGGCACUCGUAUUCCGUCGAGAGAGGUGAAAUUCUCAGACCAAUGGAAGACGAACCACUGCGAAAGCAUUUGCCAGGGAUGUUUUCACUGAUCAAGAACGAAAGUUAGGGGAUCGAAGACGAUCAGAUACCGUCGUAGUCUUAACC
rnacentral:rRNA from 1 species